GGGGAAUAUUGCACAAUGGGCGCAAGCCUGAUGCAGCCAUGCCGCGUGUAUGAAGAAGGCCUUAGGGUUGUAAAGUACUUUCAGUUGGGAGGAAGGCGUUGAUGCUAAUAUCAUCAACGAUUGACGUUACCAACAGAAGAAGCACCGGCUAACUCCGUGCCAGCAGCCGCGGUAAUACGGAGGGUGCAAGCGUUAAUCGGAAUUACUGGGCGUAAAGCGCACGCAGGCGGUUGAUUAAGUUAGAUGUGAAAUCCCCGGGCUUAACCUGGGAAUGGCAUCUAAGACUGGUCAGCUAGAGUCUUGUAGAGGGGGGUAGAAUUCCAUGUGUAGCGGUGAAAUGCGUAGAGAUGUGGAGGAAUACCGGUGGCGAAGGCGGCCCCCUGGACAAAGACUGACGCUCAGGUGCGAAAGCGUGGGGAGCAAAC
rnacentral:rRNA from 1 species